GGGUUGUGAGGUUAAGCGACUAAGCGUACACGGUGGAUGCCCUGGCAGUCAGAGGCGAUGAAGGGCGUGCUAAUCUGCGAUAAGCGCCGGUAAGGUGAUAUGAACCGUUAUAACCGGCGAUACCCGAAUGGGGAAACCCAGUGUGACUCGUCACACUAUCAUUAACUGAAUCCAUAGGUUAAUGAGGCGAACCGGGGGAACUGAAACAUCUAAGUACCCCGAGGAAAAGAAAUCAACCGAGAUUCCCCCAGUAGCGGCGAGCGAACGGGGAGGAGCCCAGAGCCUGAAUCAGCAUGUGUGUUAGUGGAAGCGUCUGGAAAGUCGCGCGAUACAGGGUGACAGCCCCGUACACAAAAGCGCAUGUGUUGUGAGCUCGAUGAGUAGGGCGGGACACGUGGUAUCCUGUCUGAAUAUGGGGGGACCAUCCUCCAAGGCUAAAUACUCCUGACUGACCGAUAGUGAACCAGUACCGUGAGGGAAAGGCGAAAAGAACCCCGGCGAGGGGAGUGAAAAAGAACCUGAAACCGUGUACGUACAAGCAGUGGGAGCCCCACCACCAAAGCAUUCUCUGGUGUUGAAGGCCCUGCAAAGCAGCAUCGCGGUGGCGGAGCGUCGUUUGCGACGCCCAACACAAAAAACAAGCGGUGAGUGCUUUGGGGUGGGGUGACUGCGUACCU
rnacentral:rRNA from 1 species